GGCUGACCGCUGACCUACGCUCCCAUGAGGGCAAGGCUGACCCCUCCGUUCCUCACCUGUCCAUGGAGAUGCUGCUCCUUGCAGGAUGCGUGAGAGGCUUGAAUUAAGCACUUCACAUGAAGUGGUGUUCCUCAGAGCAGCCGAGCAAGCUUUCCUGUCCACUGGUGAUCGUCUCCAUGUCCUGUCCAGCAACUGAGUCACACCCUGCUGCUCCAGGAGCACCAUCUCCAAGGAGUCUGAAACCAGUUUGGAUUCCCGGGGCAUUCCAGCCAGUAAAUGCUCUGAAGAUUCAUCUUUAUGGACUAGCGGCCCAGCCUUGCAGCAUCUCAGCUUCUCAAGAUGAAAAGGAAUUUUAUUUGGUGUGUUAGGCUGUGAGAGGAGCGGAUGCUGGCAGUUCACUCAGUUCUCCUAUUACCGCAUGUGCUCUUCCCCAGAGAGGAGAGACAAGGCCCCAGAGACGGCCUCAAGGCCGGGGCCCUCAGAAAAAUGAGCCUCCUCCCUUCCCUCCCGUUCCAAGGCCCGCCUAGCAGUGCUAGCCCUGGGAGGCUCCCCAAGACCGAGAGGGGUGGGGAUGGGAGUUGACCACAUCCCAGCUCAAGUGUCUCAGAUGGUCCAUGUUAAGGACCCCAACCGGGGUCAGGGAAGAGGGACCAGGGAUCCAGUAGAUUAAGACAGCUGUUGGGGGAAGGGCACGGAAAUGAAAACAGUUGCGGUUUUGUUUGCUUUAAAGCAUGGCCCUCAUAAUAAACACACACAGCGAAUGUGCUGAGCAAACACCUCGGCCGUCAUCAAUAUGCGGGGGCUGUUUAUGGCCUCAUAAACUCUGGAAGCAAGUGAUAUUGUCUUUUAAAUCAAUGGCCUCGUGGACAGCCUUGGAGCUCCAGGAGGACAGGACACCCAGGCUGCUCCAGCACCGAAAUGAACGGCUGCAGCGGUGGCUGAGUGGUGCUUGGUCACCGCCCCGGGGCGUCAGGAGCCCGUCUGGAGGACGGGGGGCAUCCCGAGCGUGUGUCUGCGGCAGGAUGCCCGGCCAGAACACCUGGGAGGCUGAGGGGUGUCCUCCCCUGGGAGCCCGGCGACCCAGGGCCGCCAGGGUGUGGAGGGAGCCAGUGGGGGUCUGUCUGUCCUUCUGCCACUACAGACUGUGGGUCCCGGAGGGUGGCCCGGGUCCCUCUGCUUUGGACCCCCAGCCCUCGUAUCAGGCCCAUUCAGGGUAUACGAGCAGGAGGCAAGGAGACCAGGCAGCCAGGUGUCAAAGGUGGUCACGCAAGUGUUUCUAGGGGUGGAUUCUGCAUGGAGGGCCCCAGGAGAUAUGCCCAUGCCCUGAUCUCC
ensembl:lncRNA